CCUGUAAGAGUCGGUCCGAAAAUCCCUCAUUUCUGCCUCACGACUGUCAGAGGCUGAGACCCCCAUGGACUCUGAGCCACAGCACAGGCCAAGUUUUCCCUGCACCUGCUGUCACCGGACCAAGACGCCCUCCUCAGGGACCCAUGCAUGAAACAAUGGGGGCCGGUUACGGUUUCUGGCCAUGUUUGCAAAGAGAUGUUCCUGCACUGACCGUACUUGGUAAGACCUGAGCUGCACCGUUCCCCCUAUUGUGAAAGAACACCUGCGAUGCCCACGAGACCGACCCCCCUUCUUGGCAUCUUGCCUCUCGCUUCGAAAAAGAACUAUAACAACCCCACCAGAAGAGCAGGCUUUUGAGGCCUCCCCAGCGGACGACGGCUCUAUUGACCUACGUGCCACGGAGACUGCGAAGGUGGUCUGUUGGCAACGACGUCACGAGGACCCCCGUCUGUCAGUUGGAGAACUCCGAUGGACAUAAAGACCACAUAAAACCAUGAUAAAACUGGUGAUAUUUUAAACAUUAUUUGUGUUAUAGGAACAAAAUUAAGAAUUUUAAACAGUAUUGAUUUAGAAAUAUUCGUUAAUAAAUUGGUUGUUACAAUUAAGAAUUUGACAACACCUUUUACAGUCGUCCUUAUUGGCUUUGGGAACGACUCAGUGGCUAUUAUCAAACAUAUUAUCAAACUGAGAACUGGUAAAUGUGAAUGAUUAUAAAUUGAUAAUUGAUCGCAAAACUAAAUCUUUUAGCUCUUAGCUGCCUCCAGUCUCAGUAGUGGAUGCAGUUAGUGGCUGCCUCAAUUAUAAAAGAUGGCAGCUUUUUCUACUGAAAUUUGGAAAGUAAUUUGGAACAAUGCCAAUGAUUUCAAAAGAGAUUUUCAAUUUUAGUUGAACUUAGUGAAUUUUAUUUAUGACUCUUUUAUAAACACAGCCACAGCUUUUGUAUUGACCAUAUGUAAUGCUUUGAUACAUUUGAUAUUCCCUAUUAUUGUGUUAAGAUUAAAACAUGAUGGAGCUAUUCUCUAUCUUUUCCAGUAUAGGGAGUGGGCCCGUCAAGUCGAUAAAAAAUGGCAAACUGUUAACUUAGAAUCCUGCAUAGUCCGAGAACAACAAGGCUUUAUUUGUGAAAGUAAUAAAAUUACAUUUGUUUAGACAUAGAACAAAAUAUUUGUUAUUUUAAAGUUUAUCCUAACGAGACUCCUGAAACAGUGCUUUUAUAUGUAGGCAAUGGAUGUGUAUGCUUUAGGACUGCUUGUGAUGUUGUAACUGUAGAAAAUGUUAUACUAGAAACCAAAAAUCACUCGAACUUUUGUGCUUGUAACUUUACUAAAAUUACAGCUUUUGAUUUUUCUUUUUCAGCUCCAGUUACUUCUUACCAGCUUUUACAAUCUAAUUACACACUAAUCCACAAGCUACGGCCUACUCUGAUUGGGAUGAACCUCACUUUGGUAAAGUAAUUGUUGCUCCAUCAGGAUCUAAGUGAAAUUUUAGAUAAAACCAAGACCUUGAUAACAAAUUAUGUCAUCCCAUCGUUGUUCUUUUAACUUUAUUUUGAUUGGCUUUUGUUUUGCAGCAAUCUCAUUCUUUACUUAGAAACAAUAGAUAUACUUAGAGAUGUUGACACAAGACAAACUUUACAAGUAGGCCAUAGCCGCGGACUGUGAAAUGGAUUUUGCCUAAGUAAUACAUAUAUUUACAGAAAAUUAUGUAUUUUGAUUCUUGUGAUUUGUGUUAAUCAUUUUUAAAUUUGUUUAUGCUACUUGAAAAUUGUUUUACAAUAAAAAUUGUUUUAAGAUUUUUUUUUUUUGCUUUGAAUACUUGAAAAAUUGUUUAAUUAAUAAUAUUAUUUUAAUUAAUAUUGUUAAGAUUUUGUCUUGAUUAUUUGAUUUUGUGAAUCAUUUAUCAUCAUGAAGAGUUUUAUUAAUCUACAACAAUUAUUUGUUUUGAAAUUUUAAUGUCAUUGGAUUUGUUUUGUCAUAAUGAUUUAUUAACAAUCAAUAUUAAUCAUUAUGAUAUCUCUUGUUUUUCCUUUUUCCUUCUCUAUUUCUUUUUCCCCUCUCUCUUUCUCUCGACUCUAUUUUCCUGGGUAUACCACUGACACUGACAAUGAGUCCUGAAGACUUCAGAACAACGCAACGAACGCGACUGAUGGAGCUCUCCUGCCGACCAGUCAUGAGUCACGGGGUGGUGUAAGAGUCGGUCCGAAAAUCCCUCAUUUCUGCCUCACGACUGUCAGAGGCUGAGACCCCCAUGGACUCUGAGCCACAGCACAGGCCAAGUUUUCCCUGCACCUGCUGUCACCGGACCAAGACGCCCUCCUCAGGGACCCAUGCAUGAAACAAUGGGGGCCGGUUACGGUUUCUGGCCAUGUUUGCAAAGAGAUGUUCCUGCACUGACCGUACUUGGUAAGACCUGAGCUGCACCGUUCCCCCUAUUGUGAAAGAACACCUGCGAUGCCCACGAGACCGACCCCCCUUCUUGGCAUCUUGCCUCUCGCUUCGAAAAAGAACUAUAACAACCCCACCAGAAGAGCAGGCUUUUGAGGCCUCCCCAGCGGACGACGGCUCUAUUGACCUACGUGCCACGGAGACUGCGAAGGUGGUCUGUUGGCAACGACGUCACGAGGACCCCCGUCUGUCAGUUGGUAGCUAUACCCUUUCUUUACCCCCCUUUUCUCUCCCUCUCUCUCCCUCUCUUCUUUCCCCUUCUUUUCUAUCGCAUAACUGUGUGUAUCAAUAAAGAUACAAUUGAUUUCACUUGAA